UACAACAAAAAAACAGCAAAACCAAAACAACAACAAAACACAGCACUCCUUGUUUUUAUUUGGAUAGGAAUGAGAGGAAGUUUGAAAAUAAAUUAUUUAUGGAUUUAUUCUGUAGUUUUAGUAACCUUCCACAGAAGAAAACAGCCAAAAUCAAAAAAAAUGUUGAGCAGCAUACAGCUAGAGUAGAUAAUUUGAGUAAAACAGUGUAUCUUUAUGGCAACAUGUUUUUCUGUUCAGUUGGAUGCUCUGUCAGCUGAUGCAAGCAGAGGGCCAUCAAGCAUGAUAUAGGCGUGUCAUUAUUUAGUAUAGAGCAAAAACCAAUGUAAGAAUAAUAAAAUCUGGGAAUAAUAUAUUCUGGUUGUCUUUAUACUUACCUUUAUUCACAUGGAGUCAAUUGCAGCCACAUUAAUAUUUGAGAAUAGAACUGUAAUGUUUAUAUUCUGGUUGAUUUUUAUAGUGUGGGAGUUUGUUUUUUUAAUGUUUAAUUAACAUGUGCAAGUUCUUGUACCUAUAGAAUAGCAGUUAUAGAAGGGAAAUUGUGAAAAUCUCUUAUGCAGAAUAGCAUUGAGUUGUGAGCAGCUGCAUUUAUUGAAGGAUACAGAUAUUAGACCCAUUAUGUACUGAAAAUCAGGUAGGGGAAAUAACUGCUUACAGCCACACCUCUGGCACGUGGAAUACAUAGUUUUAAGUAUUGCAAUUAUUUUAAAAUAUAUUUUAUCCUCCCCAUUCGAUGUGCACUAGUAACAAGGCAUCACAUGCUACAGAGGUCCUCCUAGGACAAAGGUGGGAAAAUGAAAUGUAAUUUGCCUUCACAGACACAUGUAAAAUAAAUCUUGUGCUCAAAAUUAGCAAACGCUUCAAGAUGUUAGUGCCAGAUCCGCUAAUAGAGAACUGUCAAAUAGGCCCCAUUUUAUUCGGCAGUGUGUAGAAGCUGCACACUGCAUGCUCUUUCUAGGGUUUACCAGCAUCUUCCUUCUAGAACUUCAGGUGCAAGUUGUUUUUCUCAUUUUUCCAGUACUUCACCACAACUUGUGUUAGCAGCCUCGUGUUGGCACGUUCUGGGUGAGGAGGUACAUGCACAGAUAGCGGUGCUGUGUUACUUCUGGGUUGUUGAACCUGCUGGAAAGGGAGCUAUGUAACAUCAACAGAAAUGUUGAUGCUCUGUAGUGGCAAAGCAAAAUGCUUCCAUUGUUACUGCCUUGUUGGAAUAAAUGAAUCAUGGCCAAGGUCUUUGCCUUGUUUGCAAACCUUAUCAAGUAUGCUACUUGUUGGAAGAAGCCCGUGUCAGAAGAAAAAGCCUGUUCCAAACAGGGAAGCAAAUUGUUUUACAUGUGUUUUUUUUUUUUUUUUUUUUCCUAAUGAUCUUAGCUGAUGUGUACAUCUUCUGUUUUCUUCUGAGUUUAGAAGAAAUCUUUAAAAAGCCCCUUCAUGUAAUAGCUAUCUAAUCUGACACUUCUAGAAGGUCUUUCAAGAGCAAAUACAGUCAAAUUCAUGCUAGUUGAAUCUGCAGUUCCUUUCCACCCAUGUUCAUAAGUCUCCCAACAUUAUCUUAAUUUCUUCUCUUUGAAAAAUAUGUAAAAUUUAAAGACAAGAUGUCCUUGGAAAUUGUUAGACUCUUUCCUUGAUGUGAUUGUAUUCAAACUAACAACAACAACAAAAAAAACUUUGAACCAAGUGAACAAAAAUAUUGUAGGUCAUCAGCUAGCAACUGCUUUGCUGCUGUGUUACAUUGUUGUAUGCGUUUACUGUACGGCAAAGAAUUUGGAAAGCACUUAUGGUUGAAAUCUACAUUGUAUUUAAAAAAAAUCACAUUUGGUUUUAUGAGAGAAUUCAGUUUCAAAAACGACUAAAUUCUUGCAUGCUGCAGUAUAUCCACAUUGAUUUAUUUUCACAGAUGUCUGAGUGUUGGAUUGCUACGUUAGGAAGUCAAAGCUAUUUAGAUGUAGCCUUGUUCCUACAGUUUGUUAUGUCUGUGUGCAUUAAACCUCACUGUUUCAAACCCAUGUGCACUGUUGAAUGGUGAAUUUGUUUUGAAUGUUUUCAUAGCUGACCUUAUGUAACCAUGGGUUUGAACAAAGCACAUCAGUGCAAUCGGAAUAAUUCGUAAGAAACUGCUCUAUACAGGUAAUGUAUUAAAAGAAGGAGGGGGGAAAUAAUUUUUGAAAAAGAAACCAAGCAUUUUGUGAAGGAAAAAAACAGUAUUUUUCAACUGUAUUCCCAUGUUAUCCUUAGAGUGAUCUCAGUCAAAACAGU